CGGUGGAGCAUGUGGUUUAAUUCGAAGCAACGCGCAGAACCUUACCAGCCCUUGACAUACCGGUCGCGGACACAGAGAUGUGUCUUUCAGUUCGGCUGGACCGGAUACAGGUGCUGCAUGGCUGUCGUCAGCUCGUGUCGUGAGAUGUUGGGUUAAGUCCCGCAACGAGCGCAACCCUCGCCCUUAGUUGCCAGCAUUUAGUUGGGCACUCUAAGGGGACUGCCGGUGAUAAGCCGAGAGGAAGGUGGGGAUGACGUCAAGUCCUCAUGGCCCUUACGGGCUGGGCUACACACGUGCUACAAUGGUGGUGACAGUGGGCAGCGAGCACGCGAGUGUGAGCUAAUCUCCAAAAGCCAUCUCAGUUCGGAUUGCAGUCUGCAACUCGACUGCAUGAAGUUGGAAUCGCUAGUAAUCGCGGAUCAGCCAAGCCGCGGUGAAUACGUUCCCGGGCCUU
rnacentral:rRNA from 1 species